AGAAGAGCCAUCUUGGACCUUUUCCGAGAUCCUACCCUCAACUCUCCCAUAAUCUCAACCAUUUGGGAUGUGUACUCCUGUCAGCCCCAGAGGAUUUAUCGAUGACCUGCAGUAGCCCUCUCCCAGGCCCC